rnacentral:rRNA from 1 species
GACGAACGCUGGCGGCGUGCUUAAUACAUGCAAGUCGAGCGAGGCCUUGGAAUUGGAGUCCUUCGGGAUGAAGAGUCCUUGGCCUAGCGGCGGACGGGUGAGUAACGCGUGGGCAACCUACCCCAAAGUCCGGGAUAACAGUGGGAAACCGCUGCUAAUACCGGAUGGCUUUACCUGAGGGCAUCCUUGGGUAAAGAAAGGUUACGCUUUGGGAUGGGCCCGCGUCCCAUUAGCUAGUUGGUGAGGUAACGGCUCACCAAGGCGACGAUGGGUAGCCGGCCUGAGAGGGUGAACGGCCACACUGGGACUGAGACACGGCCCAGACUCCUACGGGAGGCAGCAGUAGGGAAUAUUGCGCAAUGGGCGGAAGCCUGACGCAGCGACGCCGCGUGAGCGAAGAAGGCCUUCGGGUCGUAAAGCUCUGUCCUUGGGGAAGAAGGCGAAAGCUUGACGGUACCCAAGAAGAAAGCCCCGGCUAACUACGUCGCCAGCAGCCGCGGUAAGCGAUACUACGUA